rnacentral:lncRNA from 1 species
AGGAAGAUGGAAGAGGCCUCUAAUUGAAAUGCAUGGACUCCAUGCCAUGGGGUGCUGGAAUUUGUAGUUUGCAUCCAGUCCAACCCCUUUCUUUCUUUUUGUCAUGGAGGAAGAACCCACCCAAACCUCUCAGACAGAUGGCCAUCCGGUUUAGUUGUGUUGUUAGUCACGAUGCGUUGUUGUGAGUUUUGUGGGUCCGGAUUGUGGUUUUGUGGUGUGGUUGUGUUGUUACAACCGGGAGGGAAGGCUUUUGCCUUGUGUUGCCAAGUUUCGUAUUUCUGGGGCGUUUAGUUGUGUUGUUAUAGUCACGAUGCGUUGUUGUGAGUUUUGUGGGUCCGGUGUGGUUUUGUGGUGUGGUUGUGUUGUUACAACCGGGAGGCAAGGCUUUUGCGUUGUGUUGCCAAGUUUUGUAUUUCUUAGGUGUUUAGUUGUGUUGUUAUAGUCACUGUGCAAACAACUUUAUCCUUUUAUAUAUAUAGAUAGAUGUUCAUACAUUGUUAAAUUGCAUCCCUGCAAUGAGAGGUUUAACAGAGGAAUAGUAUAGUUGGGUUCUAUGCAUCUUUACAGUGGCAAAGACAUUGAUCCUUCAAAGCUCGGAUGGCAAACUCAUAAUCUGUCAUUCAUGUCCUAAAGUUUUUCUCUCCCCAUUUGAACUUAUAUCAAGUAACCAUCAUUUCCAUUUGGACACCUUUUCCAACACAUAGUCUAUUGCAACUAAGCUAUAUGCCUAAUACAUCAUUGUUUAGUUCAUAUUAGUAAAGUUGCUUCACCUUGUUUUGUUUGUGUGUUUGCAAAAGAAAAUCCUUUACAAUGAUUGUUAUUUCUGGUUUUGUUGUAAGCUGAUCUUUCAAGGACUCAUUGGAAGCUCUUGUGGAUUUUACUCUGUCUGAGGCCCCCAUCUAUACUUCACCUAAAAUGUAGUGUAAGGCGUGCAUUAUCAUGAAGGCCAUUCCCUUGCCCAGAAAAUUGUUUUGCCCUUGAGUUGGCACAAGUUGGAAAUGACUUGAAGGCACACAAGACAACAAAGUAACCAGAUCAGAAAGGAAAGACACUGCAGCUUCAGGUUUAUUGAAAGACUGCUCCUCUUUGGAGGUGUUCAGCAUCUUGGAAGGUCACCCCAUCUGGCUUGGCUGGAACUGUUGUUCAUUCACUUGACAGAAAUCAUUGCAUUGGUGACAUCUGACAUUUCCAAAGCUGCUUCAUGUUAGACAGGAACACCAGCAGAGGCUAUUUUACCUUCCUGUAGUAGUACACGGUAUGAGCUAUGGAUGCUAUGGGAACAAAAUGACGACAUUUAGUUUGUUCCAUUCAAAUUUGUGUUCUUCUAAUCACAAAGGCCAAUUGUCAGUUACAACUAGAGUAGAUCUAUUGAAUCAAAGGAACUUAUAUCACUGAUAUCUUAGCAAAUUCCCCUUGAUUCAAUGGGUCUACUCUGGAUGGAACUAACAGUUGGCUUUAGGCCAAAGUAUAACACGUAAGUAAUUAUUUGUUCCAAAUCCAUGAGGACUGCUCCUUACUUUUCCUGCUUCUCCCUCGUUUUCCUCUCUUCUGAGAUCCAGAAGGCCUUCUCUUUUUAUGCCUUCUAGUACUUUCAUUCUUGCACUUACAUCGUGACAUUUUUUCUGGUGGCUUUGGUGAUGGUAAAAGCCUAACAGAGGACUAAGAGGAGCAUGUCUUUUGGUGAAGCCACUGCAAUGAUGUCUUCUACGAUGGUACUGGAGUUUAUGAAAUGAAGCUACUUGCUGCACUUCUACUUAAGGAGUUGGGCAAUUAUGACCUCACACAGUUGAUAUGGCAACCUUUGUAACUUAAAAAAAAUCAGCAUGUAGGGGGCAUCAUAAUGUAGUCUGAUAAUGAAAUUACCAUGCCUUAAUGAAGUAUCAGACACAAUGAGCCACAAUUAGACAUUGACAUUGAAGGGAAAGGGAAAAUGGAAUGUAUUAGAAAGUAAAAGGAAUAAGCAUCAAGCAGAAUUGUUUUAUGAUGGCAUGUGCCAUAGUUGCAAGGAGAGAAACACGUUAUUUAUAAUGAUAUUUUGAUACGAGUAUCAUAC